rnacentral:sRNA from 1 species
ACGCUUGUGGAGACGUCGCUGC